rnacentral:lncRNA from 1 species
UAACUUAACGCUUCUUCUUUACUUCUUUCAUUAUGCUACAAUUCCAUGGCAGCCCAUAUGGGUUUCAACGCAUUACUAGCAAGUUACAUGUUUUGUAACACAAUUUGGAAUUAUAUAAUAGCAGUGUAAGAUGUAAUUUUAAAAGAACACGGUAUAAUCUUUCUCAAGGAUAUCAUACGGAUUUUUCCCUACAUUAAUCUGUUGUUACGUGAUUUGUCGCAAUUGACGUGUGUUAGAUGGAUUGUCAAGAGAAUCGGCUCAGGUAUGUUAAGGCUAUCCCUUCUUUCUUUUUGGCAUGACCCAAAUGAUACUGAAAGAAACGAGCAAACGCACAGUUUCCAUAAACGACUCUAUUCAUAGGGGUUUCUAUAUUCUUGAUUCCCCAUGUGAAUUAUUAUUAUAUCUUCUGUUCAUGAGUCUCAGAAAAAUACGUAUUUGAUAAAAUUUAUCCGACAGGCAUAUUAUUUUCAUGACAUUCUGAGAAAAUCUUAUUAACGUAUUUCUUAAGGCAUAUUAUUUUUAUGACAUUCUGAGAAAAUAUUAUUAACGUAUUUCUUAUGCAUUUCAUGCAUUUAUACAUAUAUAUUGACCCAUGACUAGAUGACGUUAUAUACACGUAUAUAUGUAUAUUAUAUGUAUAUGAGAUAUGGGAAAAGGUUAUGGCGUUAUAUACGCACCACCACCUAAUAAGCUGGUAUACGUUGAUGAUUUUGCCCACAGUGGCCGAGAUGAUAUGAUGGGAUGCCCUCAGAGGCUUGAUGAUGUUAUGAACACAUAUACCUAUGCAUGGUUUGACAUUUAUACGCAUAUGCAUGACGUUAUAAAAAUGAAAUGAUUCACAGAGUUAUGAAGACGUACAUGUCGAGUCUUUUACUCUAUGUUUCUCUCAUGUCUAUUAUUUACUGGUUUUCAUUCCUUACAUACUCGGUACAUUAUUUGUACUGACGUCCCUUUUGGCUUGGGACACUGCGUUUCAUCCCCGCAGGUCUCGAUAGACAGGUCGAGAGUCCUCCAAGUAGGCGAUCAGCUCAGCAGAAGAUAUUGGUGCACUCCAUUUGCUCCGGAGUUGCUUGUUUGGUCAAUAUGAUUUAUAUGUGUAUGGUUUGGUAUGGCGGGGCUCUGUCCCGACCUUUAUGAUAGUUAUAUNNNNN